AAUAGAUACCCAGGUAGUCCACGCCGUAAACGAUGAAUGCUAGGUGUAGGGGGUGAAUAUACCCCUGUGCCGGAGUUAACACAAUAAGCAUUCCACCUGGGGAGUACGGCCGCAAGGUUGAAACUCAAAGGAAUUGACGGGAGCCCGCGACAAGCAGUGGAGUAUGUGGUUUAAUUCGACGCAACGCGAAGAACCUUACCAGAGCUUGACAUCCACAGAAGGGGUCUGUAAUGGACCCUGUGCCCGUUCGGGGAGCUGUGAGACAGGUGGUGCAUGGUUGUCGUCAGCUCGUGUCGUGAGAUGUUGGGUUAAGUCCCGCAACGAGCGCAACCCUUACGGUUAAUUGCUACGCAAGAGCACUUUAGCCGGACUGCCGUUGACAAAACGGAGGAAGUGGGGAUGACGUCAAAUCAUCAUGCCCCUUAGUUCUGGGCUACACACGUACUACAAUGGCGCAAACAAAGGGAAGCUAAGCCGCGAGGCGGAGCAAACCCCGAAAAGGCGUCUCAGUUCGGACUGCAGGCUGCAACCGCUGCACGU
rnacentral:rRNA from 1 species